rnacentral:rRNA from 1 species
ACGUAGGGGGCGAGCGUUGUCCGGAUUCACUGGGCGUAAAGGGCGCGCAGGCGGCUACGUAAGUCCGGCGUGAAAUCCCAUGGCUUAACUGUGGAACUGCGUCGGAUACUGCGUUGGCUUGAGGAUGGUAGAGGCCAUUAGAACUAGCGGUGUAGCGGUGAAAUGCGCAGAUAUCGCUAGGAAUGCCGGUGGCGAAGGCGGAUGGCUGGGCCACUCCUGACGCUGAGGCGCGAAAGCUAGGGGAGCGAACCGGA